rnacentral:tmRNA from 1 species
GACUGGAUUUGACAGCGGGUCGGAGUGGUAUGUAAGCACGCAGUGCGCCUGAAAGUGGGCACUUUAAUCUCGGCUUUCAACAAUUUAACUGGCGAAAACAAGUUUGCUCUCGCUGCUUAAUCGAAGUAUAGUAGAUUGGCUUUAUUCCUGCACAAGGUGCGGGAACGAGACAUCACCCAAGAGCUAAUCGCUCCGAAGCGUCUUGAACAGGUGGUGCAGAGAAAUCGGAGAUAGUUCCGGUUGGCCUCGCAAUCGGGAUGAAGUUCUUAGAGGAUAAGGCGUAAGUUGGUGGCACCGGUCUUGCUUGCGCACGAAAACCUAAGCAGUGAUAAGCGUGUAGAAAGCAUAUUGCUUCCUCGUUUGGACGAGGGUUCGACUCCCUCCUGGUCCAC